rnacentral:rRNA from 1 species
GUGAACGCUGGCGGUAGGCCUAACACAUGCAAGUCGGACGGCAGCACAGUAAGAGCUUGCUCUUACGGGUGGCGAGUGGCGGACGGGUGAGGAAUACAUCGGAAUCUACUUUUUCGUGGGGGAUAACGUAGGGAAACUUACGCUAAUACCGCAUACGACCUACGGGUGAAAGCAGGGGAUCUUCGGACCUUGCGCGAUUGAAUGAGCCGAUGUCGGAUUAGCUAGUUGGCGGGGUAAAGGCCCACCAAGGUGACGAUCCGUAGCUGGUCUGAGAGGAUGAUCAGCCACACUGGAACUGAGACACGGUCCAGACUCCUACGGGAGGCAGCAGUGGGGAAUAUUGGACAAUGGGCGCAAGCCUGAUCCAGCCAUACCGCGUGGGUGAAGAAGGCCUUCGGGUUGUAAAGCCCUUUUGUUGGGAAAGAAAAGCAGCAGGUUAAUACCCCGCUGUUCUGACGGUACCCAAAGAAUAAGCACCGGCUAACUUCGUG